CCUGGACUGCGCUCGUGUGCUGGCUGCCAUCUACGUGCCUGGCACCAGGUUAGGCUCGCCGCUCGCAGGUCGAGCCCGACGCGCAGCCAGAAGCCCCACCCUGCGCCCCUGGAUGCCAGGCCUGCCACCUCGGCUCAGCACCACAGCAAAAUGCUUCUGAUGACUGCCGCCCUGGUGUAAGCUGAGACUUCUGAGAAAGAAGACCAUGGCUUUCCCCUGCUUUCCAGUUGGGGGAUGCUUGCCAUCCUUGGCCACUCACUGACCCCACCAAAGGAUUUUUUGUCCUGGACACUCACCGGACACUUCAGUAUGUUACUGGAAAAGUGGCCUCCACAGACCUUGAGCUCUCAACUCAGAGAAGAUGAGAUGGUUAAUUUUAUGCAUCAGUUUGGCUGGGCUAUAGUACCCAGAUGUUCAAUUAAACACUAAUCUAGGGGUGCCUGGGUGGCUCAGUCGUUAAGCGGCUGCCUUCGGCUCAGGUCAUGAUCCCGGGGUUCUGGGAUUGAGCCCCGCAUCGGGCUCCCUGCUCGGCGGGAAGCCUGCUUCUCCCUCUACUACUCCCCCUGCUUGUGUUCCUGCUCUCACUGUCUCUCUCUCUGUCAAAUAAAUAAAUAAAAUCUUAAAAAAAAAAAACCAAAAACAAAAAACCCACUAAUCUAAGUGUUGUUGUGAAAGUAUUUUGUAGAUGUGGUUAAGUUAAUGUCUAUAAUCAGUUGACUUAAGUACAGGAGAUGAUCCUGGAUAAUGGGGAUGGGUCUCAUCCAAUCAGUGGAAAGGCUUUGAAAGCAAAUAAUACUGAGGUUUCCCUGAGGAAGAAGUGUCAGCUCCUGGCCAAGAGUUUCUAGCCUGCUGAUCUGCCCUGCAGAUUUUAGACUUGCCCUGCUAGCACCCACAAUCAUGUAAGCCAAUGCCUUGAAAUACGUCUUUUAAUUCACACACACACACAUUCACAAACACAUAUAUCCCAGUUCCGUUUCUUUAGGAGAAACCGGGCUGAUAUAGGAACAAAGGAGGUGAGUCUGGAGUCAGUCAGCCUCAGCUGAAAUCUGGGACCCACUAUUUACUUAUUUACUGCCUGUGUGAUCUUGCACAACUUGCUUGAUCUCUUGGAGCAUUAGGUGUGUGCUCCAUAAAAUGGAGAUUAGAAUAGAUCUUAACUCCCAGGGUUGCUAUGGGGAUGAAAUUGAGAGGGGCCAGGAAAUGAACAUUAUAAUAACAGCUGACACUGACACGGCCCUACUAUGUGCCAAGCUGGCUCCAAGUGCUCCAUAUGUAUUAAUUCAUUUAAUCUUUGCAAUAAUCCUAUGGGGUUGGCCUAGUGUUACCUGCAUUUUGCAGGUAGGAAAACCGAGGUUCUGAGAGGUCAUGGUGACUUGCCUGAGGUCACCCAGUGAGCAAAAUGCUGAAGUGUAAAGUGUUUAGCACACUCAGUGUUUACGGUAAGCACUCAGCUCACAUACAGUGUGAUUCAGAUGAUGAUAAAGCCUUCCUUUUUAGAAAAUGAGUUUUCAACUCUGCUUCUCUUCAUCAAAAAGACCUUCAAAAGCACUAUAGCCAUAUGAACCAACAAUCCCACCCCUGGUGGAAUACCAUGUGAAAUAAAAACCUACCAUGAGAGACCAUGGACUCUGAGGAACAAACUGAGGUUCUAGAGGGAAGGGGGGUAGGGGGAUGGGUUAGCCUGGUGAUGGGUAUUAAAGAGGGCACGUUCUGCAUGGAGCACUGGGUGUUAUAUGCAAACAAUGAAUCAUGGAACACUAUAUCAAAAACUAAUGAUGUAAUGUAUGGUGAUUAACAUAAUAAAAUAAAAUUUAAAAAAAAAGAGUGACUCUCUCAAAAAAAAAAAACAACAACCAAAAAAACCUAUGUUCACAUAAAAGCCCAUGAGCGAUGUUUAUCAAAGCUUGAUUUGUAAUUAUCAACAGCCAUUAAAACCUAAAUGUUCGGGGCGCCUGGGUGGCUCAGUUGGUUAAGCGACUGCCUUCGGCUCAGGUCAUGAUCCUGGAGUCCCAGGAUCGAGUCCCACAUCGGGCUCCCUGCUCAGCAGGGAGUCUGCCUCUCUCUCUGACCCUCCCCCCUCUCAUGCUCUCUAUCUCAUUCUCUCUCUCAAAUAAAUAAAUAAAAUCUUUAAAAAACAAACAAACAAAAAAAAAACCCUAAAUGUUCUUCAGUGGGAGAAUGGAUAAACAAACUGUGGUCUAGCCACAUGAUGGAAUAUAUUCAGCCAUAAGAAAGGACUGAGCUACUGGUACAGAAAACAAUGCAGAUGAACCUCAAAUGCAUUAUGUUAGUGAAAGGAGCCAGACUCAAAAGGCUGUCUGAGUCCUACUCUUGUGAUUCCAUUUUAUAAGGCAUUCUGGAAAAGGUAAAAGUAUUUAGGCAGAAAGCACAUCACUGGUUGCCCUGGGCUGGGAUGUGCUACAAAGGGAGACAGGGGAAUUUGGGGGGAUGGUGGAAAUGUUCCAUAUCUGAACUGUGAUGUUAGUUACACAACUGUAUAUAUUCAGAGCUGUACACUAAAAAAGGUAAAUUUUACUGUAUGUAAAUUAUAGCUCAAUAAAAAGAAAAUUCUAUGGACUUAAAAACAAAUAAAAAAGGCAAGACAGGGUAGGACUUGGUUAGCCUCUCUCUGGGGUUCCUGACACAGUGGAAAGUUGCUAACCAGCCCUGGCUUGUCCACUCUAGGCUUCACCUUCUCUCACACAGCUUGAACCAGCUCCAUCACAUACCCCAAAACAAGCCAAGCCAGGUUCCCAGAGAAAUCAAGAUCCUACCUUACCUGCACCUGGGAAAUACAAAAGGCACUUAUGAGACAGACACACCAGAACUUCAACAUUCAAAUGACCAUGGGUUCCCCCAAAUCUGAGAUCCAAGGAGCCCCCUGCUUAUCCUUCGGCACUGCCACAGCACCAGACCUUUCUGGAAUUUCCCCUUUGGAAAUUGCUGUAAGGGGCUUAUUACAGUUGGCUCAGCAAACUAGUUGUGACUGUUAUGAAUUAGCCACUGUGCUGGGGGUGCUGAGGACACAAGCAGGGUCUAGCUGUCCCUAACUGACAGGCAUAGUGCAUUAUGUUAGUGAAAGGAGCCAGACUCAAGAAUGGUUUGAACAAAGUGGCCAGUCUUCAUUCUGAAGGUGGAUAUUAUUUCUGCUGACAGCCUGGUUACUGGAAGCCAGAUGAGGCCAAUAAGGAGUCCUUGCACCUGCAAUAUCCAUCAAAAACAAAGAGGAAUUGUCCUUUCUAAGCUGGAUCCUGCCUUUCUAUGAGCUUCUUGUGGGUGAGGAGAGGGUGGAAAUUAUUUGUAUGCCCUUGUCGGCGCACAGCAGAGUAGGUUCACAAAAUGAUUUGGUGCCUAGUGAGUGAGCGUGGGGCUCAGGAAAACAGUCUUGAAGGGUAAAUUCCAGAAUGUUCUGAGUCUGUAGGAAUGUAUGUGGACUCUGCCCCAAAAGACAUCUGUUUGGACCCCGCACACCUUACCUAGUUGGGAUGCAGCAAUACAGAAGACACACCAACCCAGCCCACAUUAGAGAAGCUGGAAAUUGACAGGGCAAAGUAGCAAAACUUGGCUGAACUUUAGGGGUUCAACUGUGCGCCUCAGCGCUACACAGUUAGAUGUCUCAGGUAAGUCAACUGGUAAGAUUUUAACUUUUGGUUUCUAAGUGAUUACUCCUCCUGUCCCCCUCAAUGAGGGCAGGGAGUGAAGCCUGUCAGGACACAAAGGAUCUCAACCCUAUGACUGCCAACAGAAAAAAGAUCUGUGUUUUCAGAAUAAAUUUUUUUAAAAUUUAUUUAUU